UACGUAGGUGACAAGCGUUAUCCGGAAUUACUGGGCGUAAAGCGCACGCAGGUGGCUACUUAAGUCUGACGUGAAAGCUCCUGGCUUAACUGGGAGAGGUCGUUGGAAACUGAGUGGCUUGAGGCGAUGAGAGGGGGAUGGAAUUCCCGGUGUAGUGGUGGAAUGCGUAGAGAUCGGGAGGAACACCAGUGGCGAAAGCGAUACCCUAGCGUUAGCCUGACGCUCAUGUGCGACAGCUUGGGGAGCGAACGGG
rnacentral:rRNA from 1 species